rnacentral:rRNA from 1 species
UACGUAGGGCGCGAGCGUUGUCCGGAUUUAUUGGGCGUAAAGAGCUCGUAGGCGGCUUGUUGCGUCAGCUGUGAAAACCCGCAGCUCAACUGUGGGCUUGCAGCUGAUACGGGCAGGCUUGAGUUCGGUAGGGGAGACUGGAAUUCCUGGUGUAGCGGUGAAAUGCGUAGAUAUCAGGAGGAACACCCGUGGCGAAGGCGGCUUUCUAGGAUAUACCUGACACUGAGAAGCGACAGCUAGGGGAGCAAACAGG